rnacentral:rRNA from 1 species
UUGAAAGGGAAACGAUUGAAGUCAGUCGUACCGGCGGGUAAUCAGCCUUUUGGGUGUGAUUAUGUGGAGCGUGAGGAGUUAAUCACCCUCAUCUUUGCAUAUUCGUGCACUUUGGGUGUACUUGCUCGUGUGGUAGGUUAACAUCAAUUUUGAUCGUCAUAAAAUGAUUGAAGGAAUGUAGCUUCGAUCUUGUAUUGAAGUGUUAUAGCCUUCGGUAGAUGUGAUGAUUGGUAUUGAGGAUUGCAACGGAUACCCUCGGGCUACCUGUCUGAUCUCUGGGAGUUGCUCUGGUGCCGAAAGCUUGCUUACGGUAUCAAAGUUGACGUUCAAUAGGUUAGAAUGGGUUAAAUUCGUUAAGGAUGUUGACGUA